rnacentral:rRNA from 1 species
CCUACGGGAGGCAGCAGUAAGGAAUAUUGGUCAAUGGACGAAAGUCUGAACCAGCCAUGCCGCGUGAAGGAUGACGGCCCUCUGGGUUGUAAACUUCUUUUAUAGGGGACGAAAAAAGGGUAUUCUUACUCACUUGACGGUACCCUAGGAAUAAGCACCGGCUAACUCCGUGCCAGCAGCCGCGGUAAUACGGAGGGUGCAAGCGUUAUCCGGAUUCACUGGGUUUAAAGGGUGCGUAGGUGGGUCUAUAAGUCAGUGGUGAAAUCUCCGAGCUUAACUCGGAAACUGCCAUUGAUACUAUAGGCCUUGAAUUAUCUGGAGGUAAGCGGAAUAUGUCAUGUAGCGGUGAAAUGCUUAGAUAUGACAUAGAACACCAAUUGCGAAGGCAGCUUACUACGGGAUAUAUUGACACUGAGGCACGAAAGCUGGGGAUCAAACAGGAUUAGAUACCCUGGUAGUCCACGCCCUAAACUAUGGAUACUCGACAUCAGCGAUACACUGUUGGUGUCUGAGNGAAGANAUAUAUCCACCNGGAGACGACGCGAGUAGAACGACAANAGAGUAGACGGCGUGAGAGAGCCGACGGACGACGACGAGGGAGGAGGG